UGGGGAAUAUUGGACAAUGGGCGCAAGCCUGAUCCAGCAAUGCCGCGUGAGUGAUGAAGGCCCUAGGGUUGUAAAGCUCUUUUACCCGGGAAGAUAAUGACUGUACCGGGAGAAUAAGCCCCGGCUAACUCCGUGCCAGCAGCCGCGGUAAUACGGAGGGGGCUAGCGUUGUUCGGAAUUACUGGGCGUAAAGCGCACGUAGGCGGCUUUGUAAGUCAGAGGUGAAAGCCUGGAGCUCAACUCCAGAACUGCCUUUGAGACUGCAUCGCUUGAAUCCAGGAGAGGUCAGUGGAAUUCCGAGUGUAGAGGUGAAAUUCGUAGAUAUUCGGAAGAACACCAGUGGCGAAGGCGGCUGACUGGACUGGUAUUGACGCUGAGGUGCGAAAGCGUGGGGAGCAAACA
rnacentral:rRNA from 1 species